rnacentral:rRNA from 1 species
GACGAACGCUGGCGGCGUGCUUAACACAUGCAAGUCGAACGGAAAGGCCCUGCUUUUGUGGGGUGCUCGAGUGGCGAACGGGUGAGUAACACGUGAGUAACCUGCCCUUGACUUUGGGAUAACUUCAGGAAACUGGGGCUAAUACCGGAUAGGAGCUCCUGCUGCAUGGUGGGGGUUGGAAAGUUUCGGCGGUUGGGGAUGGACUCGCGGCUUAUCAGCUUGUUGGUGGGGUAGUGGCUUACCAAGGCUUUGACGGGUAGCCGGCCUGAGAGGGUGACCGGCCACAUUGGGACUGAGAUACGGCCCAGACUCCUACGGGAGGCAGCAGUGGGGAAUAUUGCACAAUGGGCGGAAGCCUGAUGCAGCAACGCCGCGUGCGGGAUGACGGCCUUCGGGUUGUAAACCGCUUUCGCCUGUGACGAAGCGUGAGGGACGGUAAUGGGUAAAGAAGCACCGGCGAACUACGG